ensembl:lncRNA
GGGCCCCUUCAAGUUCCUGGAACCUCCCAGGAUGCUCCUGAAGGUAGUUAUAGUUCAGCUGUAACUUGGGUCUUAGGAACACAUGGUACCAGCCACACUCAAACGGCCCUGAACGUUAACGUAUGUGGUCCUGAGUUCUCCUCUAGGACAUUCCUCUCUCAAAUCAAAAUUUGUUUAAAUGGCUUUUAUGGUCCUCCAUGAUCUGGCUCCAGCUUACCUCUGUGGCUUAAGGCCUGUCACUCCCCAUCAUUAUCUACACUUCAGCCACUCCAGCCUUUUUUGUUUUUUUUGAGGAAGAUUAGCCCUGAGCUAACAUAUGUUGCCAAUCUUCCUCUUUUUGCUGAGGAAGACUGGCCCUCAGCUAACAUCUGUGCCCAUCUUCCUCUACUUUAUAUGUGGGACGACUACCACAGCUUGGCUUGCCAAGCAGUGCCAUGUCCGCACCCGGGAUCCAAACGGGUGAACCCCUGGCCACCAAAGCAGAACGUGCAAACUUAACCGCUGCGCCACCGGGCCGGCCCCUACUCCAGCCUUUUGACUGUCCCUGGAUCACACCUCGGGGCUCUUUCACUUGCCGUUCACCCUACCUAGAAAUUUCUUUCCCCAGAACUUCACACGGCUAAUUCUUGUCAUUCAGAUGCCAACUCAAGGUCACCUCCUUACAGAUGCUUAUCUUGACCAUCCAGUGUUGUCACCCUUGCCCACUCUCCAUCUCACUACCUUGUUUUAUUUUCUUCAUAGCACUUAUCACAUUCCACACUUAUUUUCUCUUUGCUUGUCUAGCUGCUUAUUGUGCCUCUCCCACACUAGAAUGGAAACUCCAGGGGAGCAAAAGCCUUGCCCAUCGUGUUCACUGCUGUAUCCCAAGUACCUAGAACGAAGCCAGGAACAAGCUGUCAAUCAAGAAGGAUCUAUGAGAUGAAGGAGUGCCUUACUCCUUUGCCCCACCCCUUUCAUCCAGUGUUCUCCAGGAGCAAAGCCAGCAUACCAAAGGCAAGGUUCAUGCCUAAGAUGGCGCGGGUUUGACAGACACCACCAGGAACCCCUGACAGGAGGAGUAAGCUCACCACUGCGUUUGAAUCCUGGCUCCAUCGCUGCUAGCUGUGACCUUGGACUCACUUCCAGGGUGUGUGACCUUGGGCUCAUCUCUCUAUGCCUCAGUUUUCCUCCUGUGUAAAACUUGGAGAAGAAUCGCACCUACCGCACAGGAUCACGGUAAGGAUAAAUGAGAUAGGACACACCAAGCAGCUACACAGUGCCAGAGCCAUUGGAUCAGUAGUCCUGGAUGCAGAGUUGGGGAGGGGCAAGCACAAAGCCCGAGGGAUGGCCUACGUACAAAAGGCGGCCCCAUUUGCACUUCCUCAAGGGAGCUUUGGGAGGAUGAGGGGAGAUUGAAGGCCACUGCCCUGCUUUAACCCAUCAAGCUUGUUACUGUUGGCAAAGCCAGACAGAACCACUUAUCAAGAGUCAUUUUGGGGCUCCACAAAUAAUUGCCCAGCACCUGCCAGGUGCCUUAGAGAAGACUGCCCUCUGGGAGCUUAAUUUAGGAGUAGAAACAAGAUAAAAACACAAGACCAAAGAUAACAGAGGAGAGGCGGGAGACGGAGGAACGCCAGGGCACAGUGUGCUGGCACUGGACCAACUUUGCGCCUGGUACCCGGAGAGAGGGCACCCCUUCCCACGGGCCCCUCCAUAGGAUGCCUUGGGCGUAAAAUAGAGUCAGUGGUUAAAAGAUUGCUCUUCCCAGCCAGGCACACCCUGUUUUAAAUCAUAGCUCCUGUGUCACCUCAAGUACCUGACCUCACCUCUCUGAACCUCAUUGCCUCAUUUAUAAAGUAGGGAUAAUAUUGGGACAUAUUCACAGGGUUCUUGGGGGGAUUUAGGGCGGAUUACAUUAAAAGUAUGUGGCACAAGGCGUGCAAAUAGGAAACAGGCGGCAAAUGCCAGCCAUAGUUGUUGUGUUGUUGUUAUAUUUAUCCUAGUUGCAAGCACUUCAAAGAAACAUCUCUAGCAUUUGCCACUUUAAUUUAUUUCCCAAACCACAUUUACAUGGAGCUUCUGCGCCAGCCACUGUGAUGGAAUUGUCUUAACAAACCUAUGAGGAAGGUACAUUUUUUUGUCUUCUUUUCUUUUUUUACACAUAACAAUAUUUGCCAUCAUAACCAUUUUUGUGUUCAGUAGUGUUAAGCAUGUUCACUUUCUUGCAAAAUUCACAUUUACGUUCAUGUUGUUGUGCACAUCGUUGUGCAACAGCUCUCUAGAACCUUGUCAUCUUGAAAAACUGAAACUCAUCUCCCAUUUCCCCCUCCCCCAACCCCUACUUUCUGUUUCUAGGAAGGUACUAUUUUAACCCUGUUUCACAAGUCAAGAAACCAACAGCAGCUACAUAAUUUGCGGGGCUCUGUGCAAAAUUAAAAUUAUGAGGAAUGUCAAGAUGGCAACAGCAGAGCAUUAAACCAAGCACAGCGCCGUUCUGAGUGCAGUCACAUGGGGCCCAUGAAACAGGCCCUGGAGGAAACCAAGGACCAGAGAAGUUGUUACUGUCCCAAGGUCACACAGCAAAUUUUGGAGACUCUAAAAUUACAUUACCUCCUUUACUUAUUGUAAACUCUCUGCAGACAGGGGCUUUGAUUGCCCAGUGCCCAGCACAGUGCCUGGCACACAGUGGCACUCAUUACAGAUUUCAUAGCUGGGGGAAUGGAUGAACAAGUCCCAUUCACUCGAGAAAAAAGAGGCUUCUCCAAGUUUCUGUGCUUUGCCCCAGCUCUGGCACAGUAACAUUCCCAUCCCUGCUCCUCCUUUGUGUUUACCUAGUGCCCUCUGAUUCCUAGGAGAAGGCAGAGCGGCGUGUGUCUGUCUAUAUAUAAUGUCCCCUAGCACUUUUAUGAGGCCCCACCCCUGCAGUACAUUCCUGGUUUUGAGUCCCACUUUUAUGGAGUGGAGUGAAGCUAGAAGACACUGGACAAAGUGAGGUCACUAGUGACAUGCCUUGGUUCCAGGUCCCCAGGUCACCCAGAGUCUGAUGGCUAAGUCCCCUCUCGGAUGUCAACAGAGGAAAACUAGAAUUGAAUUACUAAAGUAUGACCAAAACGUGAGUUUUAUGUACAGCUGUGGCAUGAAGUGCUGCAAAGAGUUUAGGGAGCUGUCCUAAUGUUUGUUUCUUUGAAAGAAACUCCCUUCUUCUGUCUGAAUGUUUGUGAGAUUCUUUGCUGGCAGUGGGAAGAAAGGGGAGAUGGAAUCUUAGGGGCACAUGAAUAGCUUAAUCAUAAUCCUGAUCUCAUGACCGCCUGUCAUCAUUGUUCUGUGCAUGGCUCCUUCUAGUUUAAUUAUUCUUUCUGUCUUUAUUUUCAGGAAAGUAAUGAAUACAUACCUGUGAACCCACCCAACAACAAGAUCAUUACCAAAAACUCAUAUCUCCCCUGGGCUCCCCAUCUAGCUCAUCCUUCCAUCUCGGAGGGGUUUUUCAAGAAAAGCAGCAGUUCUCAAGCGGACCCAAGAGCAAGAAAAUUUCGGUGAGUUACCUAAGAAGGCAAAAGCGGGAGAAAUCUGUUAUUUGUGAUACGGUUGAGUUAAAUUGUAUUUGUGUCUUUGAGGCUGCCCUUGAUUUGUCAAAAUCUUAUUGCCACGGUAUUUCUAUAGACCGUGUAAAAUGUAUUUAGUUAUUCAACAUAUAUUUAUUGAGUGCCUACUAUGUCCAGGCAGUGUUCUAGGGGUUGGGGAUACAGCAUAAACAAAAGAGAUAAAAAUCCCUGUUUGCCGCUCCAGGAGAGACAGACAAUUAAAAAUAAGCAUACACUUGAUCAAGUAGCAAUGAAUGCCUGGAAGAAAGUAAAAAAGGGUAAAGGAAGGGAGAAGGAUGGCCGUCCUAUUUAGAUAAAGUGGCCUUAGGAGAUUUUUUUUGACAAGAUGAUGAUUGCUUUAAACCAAGUUCAGUAAGAAUUUGGAGUGUGUAUUUGGGAAGUCCUGGUAAAUUUUGCCACAUCUUGGCAGUGUGAUCUUCUUCUCAGUGACUAACUUCUCUGAGUCCCCCUGUAAAAUUAAGAGAGGAUGAGGAAAAUGCAUUGUAAAUGAUAGUGAUUAUCACAGUUUAUGAAUGCAAGCUGAUUAUAUUAUGAAUUUUAUGGAUGUAAUAAUAACUUCCCCAGGCCCCAAAGUAAGAAUAUUCCAAUCCACUGAGGGGGUUCUUGGCACAGUGCCUGGCAUUUAUAAUUAGGAAUGGGAUUUGGGACCAGCCACGGAGUAGGCACUCCCCUGAUUCUGCGAAUUCAGAAAGUGUAUGAUUGCUAACUUCAGUUCCCUCAUCUAUAAAUUGGAAAUAAUGGUGGUGCUGACCACUUAGGGUUAUUUCUUUACAUUGUUAAACUGACAUUUAUUGAGCCACAUUGAAUCAUGCAUCAGGCAUGGUCCUAAACAAUGGAAAUGUAUUCAUUCAUUUAAUCGAUAACAGCCCAGUAAAUCAAAUAUUAUUUUUUAACAGAAAUUUACAGUCAAGGAAAC